rnacentral:misc_RNA from 1 species
CAAAUCCAACGUCUCGCUCCGAGACCCCGUCGAAACACGCCGCGUGUGUGUGUCGGGAGGGGGGGCGCUGCCCCGCCGCCCCGGCACACGACCGACCAACCCAGAAACCGUUGAUCAUCUGUAUGCUUCUUAACAAAGAAA